CGCCGACACAACACACACCGACACCUCCGCGUUUUCGACGCUCCCGGGGUCAAAAGCCCCGGGGCCACGCCCGCCCGCAGCGUCAGGCCACGAGGCCGCGGCUUCACCGCCGUUCGCGCUCCCGACGCGGCCGCACCCGGUGCCGCGGGAGGCUGCCAGCAGCGCCGGCCUACCGGAGGGGCGGGCCCGGCGAGGCCUCGGCUGGCCCCUCGCGGGCGACCGCAGCGGCUGAGGAAGCGCCCGGCCCGGCGCCGCGCCCUCCCCGCCCCGGGACCGGCAGCAGCCCGCCCGCCCGCCCCGGCGCCGCCGUCUCGCCCCCUCCGCCCUGGGCGCAGACCGCUCCCGCCCGCUCGCGCUCACCGCCCGGCCGGGGACCGCGGCGGCUGCCCCCGCCCUCGGGGCCUCCCCGGGGCCGCCGCUCCUCCGCCGCGCCGCCGCCGCCGCCGCCCGCCGCGCCGCACGCAAGGCAGCGGCCGCCCCCGGCCUCCACAUGCCGCCCCUCUCGCUGCGGAAGAGGCCGGGGAGGAGCCGGGGCUGCGCGGCCGCUAUCGCCCUCCGCCGGCGCCGAAGAGCAGCGCGGGGCCGGGCCGGGCUGCGAGCGCGGCGGGCGGCUGCCGCGGCCGGGAUUUGAGCGCAGCCCGGGCAGAGCGCGGGAAGCCGGCGGACGAUUCCCGCCGCGCCCACAGCGCGGGUAGCGAACGAGCGGGGCGGCCCGAGUUGCAGAGCGCCCCCGUGCGUCAGGGGACGGGGCUGUGUGGGUCUGCGCGCUCGCUGCAUUCCCCUGCUGGAGUGGCACAUCAGGAGAUGCUCUCUUGUUCCUUGAAGACCGAUCCCACGUGCUUAACACCUCUGGAAGAAAAACAGUUAUGUUUUCGCAGCUGCAGUAAUCUAAAUACUGAGGUAAGGCUGAUAGGAAGAAACAACUUUCAUCAGAUCCAAAAAUCACUCGUAAAGCUGUUUCUUUUUCAUACAUUGGUGAGCAAAGCAGCAGGAAGAACAGCAGGUAGUUAAUAUGUGACAUUUGAUUUAAGUAAAAGGUAGCUCUUGUUCACACUUUACUGUUCCCGUACAGCAUCCUCAGAUAGGUAUCUUCUGGCAGUUCCCAUGUUGUUCCAGUGUUUUGUUCCAGUUCCAGUGCUUUCAUGGGUCAUGAAUCAUGAAUUAGUGUAGAUGAAGCACUUUCUUCAUUAUUGGCAGUCUCAUGUAUCAAAACUGUCAAGAAAAUGUCAACAGUGUUCACAUGAGGGACACAAAGAGGGCAAUUUUGGCAUGUUUUUAUUAUGGUUUUAGGCUUGAUCUUUGUUCCUUAAUGUUCACAUCCCAGCACUUUGGUAUCAGCACUUAAGCUAGCUUGCAAUAACUGCCCAGCAGCUCCAGAUGCAAAGCAGCUGUGAGAUCAGGCCCUGUGCCCUCACUGUGGGCAGAGCUGAUGUCCUUUUGCAAGCAAAUGCAUGCAUCACAGCAGAGGGGUCAGCAAAUGGCCUGAGUGUAGAACAGGCAGGGUGCUCUGUCUCUACCAGCUGCUCUGUCUCACUGUCUGUCGUUCAGGAUUGGACAAGUAGUACUGAGUUAAAUGAAGUUACCUGUGCAUAAAGAAAGUCAACAAGAAAACACAUUUUGGGUCAGGAAUUCGUAUUCUCAAGAUGUGGAGUUUUAGGGCUAGAAAGUGAAGUACUAGUCACUUGUUGUUGAUGUUGUUUUUUUGUUUUGUUUUGUUUUUAAACUGGGAAUGACUAUUAAGUGCCACUGCUAAAGGCAAAACCUGGCUUCUGAAUACCAUAUGGUUAAGCUACAGAAUCAUACACACAAAUUUCAAGUUAUUCCCUCUGUAUCACCAAGCAAGCACCAACCUGUGCUUUUUUUUCCUCCUGGGCAGUGUGCAGGGCCAGAGUAGGCAGAUACCAGAGCUCACAGAUCCCCCGCACCAGUGACCUUAAUGUUCAAGUGUUGCUCCCUGUAAUGAGCUCCAUCUGUUUAGACUUGGAGAAAUAGACCAAUAUAUCACUGUAAUACUCUGGAAAGUUGAUGCUGCCCAUGCCUUCUGUGUGUAUUUCAUUUUUAUUUGACAUGUAUAUUACCUUGUUGUCUUCACAGAUAGCUAAGUUUCCAAGUCCUUCAGUUUUCACUGAAGUGCCACCAAUGCAAAUUUAAGAGAAACCAAACAAUCAGGCAUGGAAAAUAUACAUCUUAAAAACCUUCUGUAACCUUCAGUGAUUUGUACCAUUUCACAUACUGGAGAAAUAAAUGGUAUCCAAGUUAUUGACCA
ensembl:lncRNA